rnacentral:rRNA from 1 species
UACAGAGGUGGCAAGCGUUGUUCGGAAUUACUGGGCGUAAAGGGCGCGUAGGCGGCCUUCUAAGUCAGACGUGAAAUCCCUCGGCUUAACCGGGGAACUGCGUCUGAUACUGGAUGGCUUGAGAUUGGGAGAGGGAUGCGGAAUUCCAGGUGUAGCGGUGAAAUGCGUAGAUAUCUGGAGGAACACCGGUGGCGAAGGCGGCAUCCUGGACCAACACUGACGCUGAGGAGCGAAAGCCAGGGGAGCAAACGGG